CUAAAAACAAGCCUAAGCUUGUUUUAUAACUAAUAAUAAGUCUCUAUGUGGUUGAGAGCUGGCAGUCCAGUCGAAAAACUCUACCUACAAGAAAUGGAAUAAAUUGUCACUCAAAAUAAUUUACAGUGCAUUCAAGAUGGCUCAGUGGAUGCUUACUACCAAGCCCGAUUACCCAACUUUGCCUAUGGGACCCACAUGGUAGAAGAAGAGAACUGAAUCCCGGCUUUUCUGAAACGCUCAUGCAGUAAAUGACUACUCCUGUCCCCUCCUCAAAUAGUCUUCUCUCGAAUGACAUCAGAAUUGCUAACCCACCUCUAGCCAGGCUCAAGAAGAGGCUCUGCCAACUGUGCUCACUCUAUGCCAUGUCCCUUUUCAGUAGCAGUGGCUGGGCCUCAGCAUCUCUCACCCAAGCUCCCCAGGACCCUGGAGAAUAACCACAUUAUGAUGGGACCUGAGAAAGUACUGCUAGAGAGAAAGUUUACACAAAGACCUUCUGUAGGUCUGACAGGAAAACUACUGUGGAAGAAAUUUGUUCACCUGCUUCAUCCAAGUGUUUCAAAGUUUGGAUACAAAUAAUUAGUUUUUCCAGGUGUUGGUGGUGCACACCUUUAAUCCCAGCACUUGGGAAGCAGAGGCAGGUGGAUCUCAGUGAGUUUGAAGCCAGCCUAGUCUACAAAGUGAGUUCCAAGACAACUAGCUAGGACUGUUACAUAGAGAAACCCUGUCUCAAAACAAAACAAAACCCAAAAGGAUUAGUUUCUAAUUCUAGGUGAGAUUUGGUGUGAACUGUUUGAUGCCAUGUUAGCCAUUGUCUUCUAAUACCCCUGCAGCAGAUGUGCUCACCAGCACCAGGGAGGAGUGUUGGAACAUGGUUCAUGAACCAAGCUGUGGGAGGAGAUUUCUGAGACCUUGUGAGAAAACUCCAGGCACCCUCUCCCAGGUUCAUGCUGCCAACUAGAGCAGUAAACAGAGGAGAACCAGCAUUUUAUAAUGGCUUCUUUCCAAGGACAUUCAAGAUAAAAUAAUCCACCAAGAUCCUGCUCAUUCAUGUCCCUUUGUGUCCUGUCCUAACUGUACCUGCUGGGUAGCCAUUCAGAUAUGCUGAGCAAAAAAUAAAAAAAAUAAAAAAAUAAAAGAUUUUUAAAAAAUUGCA